AAACUGAAGAGUUUGAUCCUGGCUCAGAUUGAACGCUGGCGGCAUGCUUUACACAUGCAAGUCGAACGGUAACGCGGAGAGAAGCUUGCUUCUCUCCGGCGACGAGUGGCGAAC
rnacentral:rRNA from 1 species